UUGCAUGAUGACACUUUGUGUUUGUUGGGU
rnacentral:piRNA from 1 species